GCCCAGGUAGUGUAGUGGCCUAUCAUGACGGCCUGUCACGCCGUCGACACGGAUUCAAAUUCCGUCCUGGGCG
rnacentral:tRNA from 3 species